GGGUCAAUGGCGUAGCUGGUUAUCGCAUCUGUCUAACAUCCUUUCUGAAUUCUGUAUACACGGAAGGUCCUCAGUUCGAACCUGGGUCGACUUA